rnacentral:lncRNA from 13 species
GUUGAGAGCGGACUUGAGUGAAACCAUGCAGAGAGAGACUCUGACGAUCAUUCUCCUUUUACUCUGUGCUGGGCUUCCAGGUGACUGUGGAGUAAUAGAGUUUCCCGUACUCCAUUCUGAUAUAACCGGCUGUAUGAAAAUGACAUGUGCCAGGAGUAUCAAUGCCUGUGUGGACACACAUGGACAGGCCCCCACAGAACAGCUCAAAGGUUGUGUUGUCCACAAAUGUAGGAAAAUCACCAACCGCUGUGUAGAUCAGUUCUUCCAACAGUACCUACCCCUGUUAUUGGCACAAAAUCCAAAAGUUGCCUCAAUUGUCGAACCAAAUGCCAAGCUUUUCAUGGCUGAAAUGACAGAUGCUUAUCUUGAAUGCUGGCUCGAGACGACAGACUCCGAAGUCGGAGUUGCUGUGAGCUGUUGGCUCUUCCAUGCUUUGAAAGGAAUGGUAAGCUGCUAUGGUCAGCUAGAUGACAACUACAUCAAGGAACUGAAAAAAAGGGCAGAGAGAGAGAUGAAAGACAAUACGUUACGUUAUAUGACAUGCAUGAGCAAACCCAUGACAAACUGGAACUGGUGUCAAGGACUCUUUGAUGAUCUUUUUGCUUCAUCACCAAAGAGGAAACGACAGUACAAAGGUAAGUCAAUAAUAAACACCGUGUCCUGUUCGCAUGUUAAGUUCACGUUUAACAGGGUUUCCCUCGCCACUGAGACCUAUCUGUAA